GGGUUGUGAGGUUAAGCGACUAAGCGUACACGGUGGAUGCCCUGGCAGUCAGAGGCGAUGAAGGACGUGCUAAUCUGCGAAAAGCGUCGGUAAGGUGAUAUGAACCGUUAUAACCGGCGAUGUCCGAAUGGGGAAACCCAGUGCAAUUCGUUGCACUAUCGUUAACUGAAUACAUAGGUUAACGAGGCGAACCGGGGGAACUGAAACAUCUAAGUACCCCGAGGAAAAGAAAUCAACCGAGAUUCCCCCAGUAGCGGCGAGCGAACGGGGAGCAGCCCAGAGUCUGAAUCAGCUUGUGUGUUAGUGGAACGGUCUGGAAAGUCCGACGGUACAGGGUGAUAGUCCCGUACACCAAAAUGCACAGGCUGUGAACUCGAAGAGUAGGGCGGGACACGUGGUAUCCUGUCUGAAUAUGGGGACCAUCCUCCAAGGCUAAAUACUCCUGACUGACCGAUAGUGAACCAGUACCGUGAGGGAAAGGCGAAAAGAACCCCGGCGAGGGGAGUGAAAAGAACCUGAAACCGUGUACGUACAAGCAGUGGGAGCACCUUCGGGUGUGACUGCGUACCUUUUGUAUAAUGGGUCAGCGACUUAUAUUCUGUAGCAAGGUUAACCGUAUAGGGGAGCCGCAGGGAAACCGAGUCUUAACUGGGCGUUAAGUUGCAGGGUAUAGACCCGAAACCCGGUGAUCUAGCCAUGGGCAGGUUGAAGGUUGGGUAACACUAACUGGAGGACCGAACCGACUAAUGUUGAAAAAUUAGCGGAUGACUUGUGGCUGGGGGUGAAAGGCCAAUCAAACCGGGAGAUAGCUGGUUCUCCCGAAAGCUAUUUAGGUAGCGCCUCGUGAAUUCAUCUUCGGGGGUAGAGCACUGUUUCGGCUAGGGGGUCAUCCCGACUUACCAACCCGAUGCAAACUACGAAUACCGAAGAAUGUUAUCACGGGAGACACACGGCGGGUGCUAACGUCCGUCGUGAAGAGGGAAACAACCCAGACCGCCAGCUAAGGUCCCAAAGUCAUGGUUAAGUGGGAAACGAUGUGGGAAGGCACAGACAGCCAGGAUGUUGGCUUAGAAGCAGCCAUCAUUUAAAGAAAGCGUAAUAGCUCACUGGUCGAGUCGGCCUGCGCGGAAGAUGUAACGGGGCUAAACCAUGCACCGAAGCUGCGGCAGCGACACUAUGUGUUGUUGGGUAGGGGAGCGUUCUGUAAGCCUGCGAAGGUGACCUGUGAGGGUUGCUGGAGGUAUCAGAAGUGCGAAUGCUGACAUAAGUAACGAUAAAGCGGGUGAAAAGCCCGCUCGCCGGAAGACCAAGGGUUCCUGUCCAACGUUAAUCGGGGCAGGGUGAGUCGACCCCCUAAGGCGAGGCCGAAAGGCGUAGUCGAUGGGAAACAGGUUAAUAUUCCUGUACUUGGUGUUACUGCGAAGGGGGGACGGAGAAGGCUAUGUUAGCCGGGCGACGGUUGUCCCGGUUUAAGCAUGUAGGCUGGUUAUCCAGGCAAAUCCGGAUAAUCAAGGCUGAGGUGUGAUGACGAGGCACUACGGUGCUGAAGUAACAAAUGCCCUGCUUCCAGGAAAAGCCUCUAAGCAUCAGGUAACAUCAAAUCGUACCCCAAACCGACACAGGUGGUCAGGUAGAGAAUACCAAGGCGCUUGAGAGAACUCGGGUGAAGGAACUAGGCAAAAUGGUGCCGUAACUUCGGGAGAAGGCACGCUGGUGUGUAGGUGAAGUCCCUGCGGAUGGAGCUGAGACCAGUCGAAGAUACCAGCUGGCUGCAACUGUUUAUUAAAAACACAGCACUGUGCAAACACGAAAGUGGACGUAUACGGUGUGACGCCUGCCCGGUGCCGGAAGGUUAAUUGAUGGGGUUAUCCGUAAGGAGAAGCUCUUGAUCGAAGCCCCGGUAAACGGCGGCCGUAACUAUAACGGUCCUAAGGUAGCGAAAUUCCUUGUCGGGUAAGUUCCGACCUGCACGAAUGGCGUAAUGAUGGCCAGGCUGUCUCCACCCGAGACUCAGUGAAAUUGAACUCGCUGUGAAGAUGCAGUGUACCCGCGGCAAGACGGAAAGACCCCGUGAACCUUUACUAUAGCUUGACACUGAACAUUGAGCCUUGAUGUGUAGGAUAGGUGGGAGGCUUUGAAGCGUGGACGCCAGUCUGCGUGGAGCCAACCUGAAAUACCACCCUUUAAUGUUUGAUGUUCUAACGUUGGCCCCUGACCGGGGUUGCGGACAGUGUCUGGUGGGUAGUUUGACUGGGGCGGUCUCCUCCCAAAGCGUAACGGAGGAGCACGAAGGUUAGCUAAUCCUGGUCGGACAUCAGGAGGUUAGUGCAAUGGCAUAAGCUAGCUUGACUGCGAGCGUGACGGCGCGAGCAGGUGCGAAAGCAGGUCAUAGUGAUCCGGUGGUUCUGAAUGGAAGGGCCAUCGCUCAACGGAUAAAAGGUACUCCGGGGAUAACAGGCUGAUACCGCCCAAGAGUUCAUAUCGACGGCGGUGUUUGGCACCUCGAUGUCGGCUCAUCACAUCCUGGGGCUGAAGUAGGUCCCAAGGGUAUGGCUGUUCGCCAUUUAAAGUGGUACGCGAGCUGGGUUUAGAACGUCGUGAGACAGUUCGGUCCCUAUCUGCCGUGGGCGCUGGAGAAUUGAGGGGGGCUGCUCCUAGUACGAGAGGACCGGAGUGGACGCAUCACUGGUGUUCGGGUUGUCAUGCCAAUGGCACUGCCCGGUAGCUAAAUGCGGAAGAGAUAAGUGCUGAAAGCAUCUAAGCACGAAACUUGCCCCGAGAUGAGUUCUCCCUGAGACUUUAAGUCUCCUGAAGGAACGUUGAAGACGACGACGUUGAUAGGCCGGGUGUGUAAGCGCAGCGAUGCGUUGAGCUAACCGGUACUAAUGAACCGUGAGGCUUAACCUUACAACGCCGAAG
rnacentral:rRNA from 1 species